rnacentral:tRNA from 1 species
GGGAAUGUGGCUUAAUGGUAGAGUGCUUGCCUAGCAUGCAUGAAGCCCUGGGUUUGAUUCCUCAGUCCCA